rnacentral:pre_miRNA from 14 species
UCUUUGGAGAUGAGGGUGGUCACCCAUCCCAGACGAGCCCCCAAAUGAAAGACCCCCGGAGUGGGGAGACCACAACCCGAGGGGGCAGGGAUGGCGUCAUAGAAUAACAGUGAAAAAU